CCCAGCCCCUCCUCAUCCGGCAGCCUCAGCAGCACCUCCUCCUGGUACAGCAGCAGCAGUAGCCGCUCGGCCAGCCGCAGCUACUCCCGGAGCCGGAGUCGGAGCCGGAGCCGGAGACGGAGCCGGACCCGCACGAGCAGCAGCUCUAGCUCCCGCAGCCCUAGUCCGGGCUCCCGCAGCCGGAGCCGGAGCAGGAGCCGGAGCCGGAGCCGGAGCAGGAGCCAGAGCCGGAGCUACAGCUCAGCAGACAGCUACUCCAGCACGAGGCGCUAAGUGCCCCUGAGCCAGCUGCCCGUGGGGGCCCCUUCGCGCUGCCAGCCUCCCCCAACCACCUGCCCUCCCCGCCUUCUUGGUGACAAAUAGUGAGGGCUCCUAUACCUUGUCCUUCCUGCUUGCCUAGGGGAAGAGGAGAAGAGGGUAAGGGGGCUUCACUCUCUAGAUCAGCCUGCUAGGAGCCUCUACCAGCAUCAUCCUGGGGCCCAGCUCAGGCCUGGGCAUAUGGAAAGAACCAUCAUCUUGUGGCAC
rnacentral:lncRNA from 10 species